rnacentral:rRNA from 1 species
GACGAACGCUGGCGGCGUGCCUAAUACAUGCAAGUCGAGCGAGUCUGCCUUGAAGAUCGGAGUGCUUGCACUCUGUGAAACAAGAUACAGGCUAGCGGCGGACGGGUGAGUAACACGUGGGUAACCUGCCCAAGAGAUCGGGAUAACACCUGGAAACAGAUGCUAAUACCGGAUAACAACAGAUGAUGCCUAUCAACUGUUUAAAAGAUGGUUCUGCUAUCACUCUUGGAUGGACCUGCGGUGCAUUAGCUAGUUGGUAGGGUAACGGCCUACCAAGGCGAUGAUGCAUAGCCGAGUUGAGAGACUGAUCGGCCACAUUGGGACUGAGACAAGGCCCAAACUCCUACGGGAGGCAGCAGUAGGGAAUCUUCCACAAUGGACGCAAGUCUGAUGGAGCAACGCCGCGUGAGUGAAGAAGGGUUUCGGCUCGUAAAGCUCUGUUGUUGGUGAAGAAGGACAGGGGUAGUAACUGACCUUUGUUUGACGGUAAUCAAUUAGAAAGUCACGGCUAACUACGUG